rnacentral:piRNA from 1 species
UAGGAUGGUAUAGUGAACAAGGUCAAGGU